UUACACCACAAAAAAGAACAAUAUUAUAUGUAAACCCCCUCCAGGGAUUAAUAAAUAGGAUGGUAAAAAUGGAAUUGUGCAUGUGCAAAGUAUUCAGAAGUAUUUACAACAACCAAUGUAUGUAUAUUUAUGUUUCACUCUAAGGUGUGUGGGAUACAUUUUCCUGACGAACGACCCACAAGAGAAAAUCCAUAUUCUGUGUUGUUCAUGGGCUAUGAUUGUCGUGUAACUCCAGCUAGACCUCCACCCAAAAAGAGAUGUCUUCAGCCACUACACCUGAACUCAGCUAUUGAACCAAUGGAAACAGAUGUGGAAAUUUGGAAAAUUUGCCAUUUUACAUAAUUUUGAAAUGUUGUGUUGCAAAGUGUACAUUUCUGUUCUGCACACAAUAUGUGCUAUUUUGGUGGACCUAUUUCUGAGUUUACAGUCUGUGCUUGAGCAGUCAAAACAUGAUGCAAAAUGGUUCCAGGAACCAUAGAUAAUCCAAUCAUAUCAAGUGCAGAAAAAUGUGCAAUUACAUUGUCAUCUGUAUCAAAUGCAGUAGAAAUGACACUCAUACACUUUCUAGGAGAACUGUGUUGGGUUUGCAUAUUUUCCACUCGCUCUGGCACUACAUUGUCACAAGUAAACCAGUUCCAGGCACAUGCUGUGUCUGUGCAGGCCAAGCCUAUGAACCCUCUUGCUGAA